AUCUAGAUGACCAGUUCCAGAUAGGACGAAAUGCGCGUCAAACUGGAU
rnacentral:hammerhead_ribozyme from 1 species